rnacentral:rRNA from 1 species
UGGCGGACGGGUGAGUAACGCGUGGGUAACCUGCCUCAUACAGGGGGAUAACGGUUAGAAAUGACUGCUAAUACCGCAUAAGCGCACAGUACCACAUGGUACGGUGUGAAAAACUCCGGUGGUAUGAGAUGGACCCGCGUCUGAUUAGCUGGUUGGUGGGGUAACGGCCCACCAAGGCGACGAUCAGUAGCCGACCUGAGAGGGUGACCGGCCACAUUGGGACUGAGACACGGCCCAG